rnacentral:ncRNA from 2 species
AUGAGUGAAGUCGGAGACCGGUCCCCCGGGGACAGGCCGAAGGAGCAACUGCCGCCUGCUGACGCGCGGCCAGGAAUCUCUCAGGCUCACAGGACGGCUUUAGGACG